rnacentral:rRNA from 1 species
UACGUAGGGUGCGAGCGUUGUCCGGAAUUAUUGGGCGUAAAGGGCUCGUAGGCGGUUUGUCGCGUCGGGAGUGAAAACCCAGGGCUUAACUCUGGGCUUGCUUUCGAUACGGGCAGACUAGAGGUAUGCAGGGGAGAACGGAAUUCCUGGUGUAGCGGUGAAAUGCGCAGAUAUCAGGAAGAACACCGGUGGCGAAGGCGGCUCUCUGGGCCUUACCUGACGCUGAGGAGCGAAAGCGUGGGUAGCGAACAGG